rnacentral:rRNA from 1 species
GACGAACGCUGGCGGCGUGCUUAACACAUGCAAGUCGAACGGAAAGGCCCUGCUUUUGUGGGGUGCUCGAGUGGCGAACGGGUGAGUAACACGUGAGUAACCUGCCCUUGACUUUGGGAUAACUUCAGGAAACUGGGGCUAAUACCGGAUAGGAGCUCCUGCUGCAUGGUGGGGGUUGGAAAGUUUCGGCGGUUGGGGAUGGACUCGCGGCUUACCAGCUUGUUGGUGGGGUAGUGGCUUACCAAGGCUUUGACGGGUAGCCGGCCUGAGAGGGUGACCGGCAACAUUAGGACUGAGAUACGCCCCAUACUCCUACGGGAGGCAGCAGUGGGGAAUAUUGCACAAUGGGCGGAUACCUGAUGCAGCAACGCCGCGUGCUAGAUGACGGCCUUCGGGUUGAAAACCGCUUUCGCCUGUGACGAAGCGUGAGUGACGGUAAUGGGUAAAGAAGCACCGGCUAACUACGUG